rnacentral:rRNA from 1 species
UACGUAGGGUGCAAGCGUUGUCCGGAAUUAUUGGGCGUAAAGGGCUCGUAGGCGGUCCAUCGCGUCGGGAGUGAAAAGCUGGGGCUUAACCCCAGUCCUGCUUCCGAUACGGGUGGACUAGAGGUAGGUAGGGGAGAACGGAAUUCCUGGUGUAGCGGUGAAAUGCGUAGAUAUCGGAAGGAACAUCAGUGGCGAAAAGCGACUUCCUGGACCAAUACUGACGCUCAUGUGCGAAAGCGUGGGGAGCAAACAGG